rnacentral:siRNA from 1 species
AAGAUCAACUUUGGCUGCUGCAAC